GACGAACGCUGGCGGCGUGCUUAACACAUGCAAGUCGAACGGAAAGGCCCUGCUUUUGUGGGGUGCUCGAGUGGCGAACGGGUGAGUAACACGUGAGUAACCUGCCCUUGACUUUGGGAUAACUUCAGGAAACUGGGGCUAAUACCGGAUAGGAGCUCCUGCUGCAUGGUGGGGGUUGGAAAGUUUCGGCGGUUGGGGAUGGACUCGCGGCUUAUCAGCUUGUUGGUGGGGUAGUGGCUUACCAAGGCUUUGACGGGUAGCCGGCCUGAGAGGGUGACCGGCCACAUUGGGACUGAGAUACGGCCCAGACUCCUACGGGAGGCAGCAGUGGGGAAUAUUGCACAAUGGGCGGAAGCCUGAUGCAGCAACGCCGCGUGCGGGAUGACGGCCUUCGGGUUGUAAACCGCUUUCGCCUGUGACGAAGCGUGAGUGACGGUAAUGGGUAAAGAAGCACCGGCUAACUACGUGCCAGCAGCCGCGGUGAUACGUAGGGUGCGAGCGUUGUCCGGAUUUAUUGGGCGUAAAGGGCUCGUAGGUGGUUGAUCGCGUCGGAAGUGUAAUCUUGGGGCUUAACCCUGAGCGUGCUUUCGAUACGGGUUGACUUGAGGAAGGUAGGGGAGAAAUGGAAUUCCUGGUGGAGCGGUGGAAUGCGCAGAUAUCAGGAGGAACACCAGUGGCGAAGGCGGUUCUCUGGGCCUUUCCUGACGCUGAGGAGCGAAAGCGUGGGGAGCGAACAGGCUUAGAUACCCUGGUAGUCCACGCUGUAAACGGUGGGUACUAGGUGUGGGGUCCAUUCCACGGGUUCCGUGCCGUAGCUAACGCUUUAAGUACCCCGCCUGGGGAGUACGGCCGCAAGGCUAAAACCCAAAGGAAUUGACGGGGCCCCGCACAAGCGGCGGAGCAUGCGGAUUAAUUCGAUGCAACGCGUAGAACCUUACCUGGGUUUGACAUGGAUCGGGAGUGCUCAGAGAUGGGUGUGCCUCUUUUGGGGUCGGUUCACAGGUGGUGCAUGGCUGUCGUCAGCUCGUGUCGUGAGAUGUUGGGUUAAGUCCCGCAACGAGCGCAACCCUUGUUCACUGUUGCCAGCACGUUAUGGUGGGGACUCAGUGGAGACCGCCGGGGUCAACUCGGAGGAAGGUGGGGAUGACGUCAAGUCAUCAUGCCCCUUAUGUCCAGGGCUUCACGCAUGCUACAAUGGCUGGUACAGAGAGUGGCGAGCCUGUGAGGGUGAGCGAAUCUCGGAAAGCCGGUCUCAGUUCGGAUUGGGGUCUGCAACUCGACCUCAUGAAGUCGGAGUCGCUAGUAAUCGCAGAUCAGCAACGCUGCGGUGAAUACGUUCCCGGG
rnacentral:rRNA from 1 species